UACGUAGGGCGCAAGCGUUGUCCGGAAUUAUUGGGCGUAAAGAGCUCGUAGGCGGUUUGUCGCGUCUGCUGUGAAAACCUGAAGGCUCAACCUUCGGCUUGCAGUGGGUACGGGCAGACUAGAGUGCGGUAGGGGAGACUGGAAUUCCUGGUGUAGCGGUGAAAUGCGCAGAUAUCGAGGAGGAACACCGGUGGCGAAGGCGGCAUCCUGGAC
rnacentral:rRNA from 1 species